rnacentral:lncRNA from 10 species
AUGCUCCUCUCUCAAGACUGGUAUACUUUCUCACUCUACUCCCUUUACAAAUGCCCUGAUCGAACUUUGCUGAUGAAAUUAUCUUUUCUUAGUUUCUUAGACUUUGGAUGGUGGAGACCUGUGCCUGCUACUUCUCUCAUCUCCCGAUACCUAAUGCAUAGUGUUCAGGCACCAAGGAAGAGAACCAAUGGCAGAAGUCACACGUGCAAGCAAGAUGGGAGUCUGGAGAGCCUCAGGCUAAAUCACCAGUGCUCAGCCCUGUUCUCUUUCAAAGAUCAAAUUCUGGGAGUUUACAUUUCUGAAACUUGGGUCAAGGUCCUGACCAAUCCUCAAAAGAGCAACUGUGUGGACAUCUGUGGCAAUGUCAGAUUCACUGAAUCCCAAGACAAGGAGCUCUUUGAUAAUGGGCUAGAGGAAAGUGUGAAAGAAUGGUUUAGAACUAAUUCAAGAAAGAACAAUCUGAUUCCCACUUGGAGGAGGACGCAGGAGCUGAAUCAGAUGGGGCUGUGGUGCCUGGGGAGGAGGAAAUUGUGAGUACUUGCUCUUGAUUGAGUAUCAUUAUCCUCCUGUUGUCUAGGAAGAUGAUUGUUAUAAUUAGCCACAAAUGUCAUGGGCAACUAUAAUUUACCUUUUCCUGUAACAACUGAUAGUUUACCUUUUCAAUGCCUCCUUUUAUCUUCCCACCAUGGGGCUUUCCCCAUCCCUCCAUAACAAUCAAAUAUAAAAUAAAAUAUAUUUAUUUUAUAGUAUGUGCCUGUCAAUGUAUACUUAUAGUAAUAAUGUGACUAUUCAUUUUUAAAAAGUCAUAAAGUGGCUACUUGCCCAAAUUUCAGGCUCCUUUAAAAUUAAAGUUCCUAUAAGAAAAAAUUAGAAAUCAUGAGGUUAUAUAAUAGGAAUGCUGGUGGAGUCUUUAGAGAUAUUUUAGGACCAUUUCUUAUUAAUCUUAUUUCUAAAUAUAGUAUAAAGAGAUGUUAUUAAUUGGGUUGCAUAAUGCCUUUGAAAUGCAAUA